GAGUGGCGGACGGGUGAGUAACACGUAGGUAACCUGCCCAGAAGCGGGGGACAACAUUUGGAAACAGAUGCUAAUACCGCAUAACAGCGUUGUUCGCAUGAACAACGCUUAAAAGAUGGCUUCUCGCUAUCACUUCUGGAUGGACCUGCGGUGCAUUAGCUUGUUGGUGGGGUAACGGCCUACCAAGGCGAUGAUGCAUAGCCGAGUUGAGAGACUGAUCGGCCACAAUGGGACUGAGACACGGCCCAUACUCCUACGGGAGGCAGCAGUAGGGAAUCUUCCACAAUGGGCGCAAGCCUGAUGGAGCAACACCGCGUGAGUGAAGAAGGGUUUCGGCUCGUAAAGCUCUGUUGUUAAAGAAGAACACGUAUGAGAGUAACUGUUCAUACGUUGACGGUAUUUAACCAGAAGGUCACGGCUAACUACGUGCCAGCAGCCGCGGUAAUACGUAGGUGGCAAGCGUUAUCCGGAUUUAUUGGGCGUAAAGAGAGUGCAGGCGGUUUUCUAAGUCUGAUGUGAAAGCCUUCGGCUUAACCGGAGAAGUGCAUCGGAAACUGGAUAACUUGAGUGCAGAAGAGGGUAGUGGAAC
rnacentral:rRNA from 1 species